UACGUAGGGGGCAAGCGUUGUCCGGAAUCAUUGGGCGUAAAGAGCGUGUAGGCGGCCCGAUAAGUCCGCUGUGAAAGUCCCAGGGCUCAACCCUGGAAUGCCGGUGGAUACUGUCGGGCUCGAAUCCGGAAGAGGUGAGUGGAAUUCCUGGUGUAGCGGUGAAAUGCGCAGAUAUCAGGAAGAACACCCGUGGCGAAGGCGGCUCUCUGGGACGGUACUGACGCUGAGACGCGAAAGCGUGGGGAGCGAACAGG
rnacentral:rRNA from 1 species